CAGCCUACACAUGCAGUCGAGCGGUAGAGAGAAGCUUGCUUCUCUUGAGAGCGGCGGACGGGUGAGUAAUGCCUAGGAAUCUGCCUGGUAGUGGGGGAUAACGUUCGGAAACGGACGCUAAUACCGCAUACGUCCUACGGGAGAAAGCAGGGGACCUUCGGGCCUUGCGCUAUCAGAUGAGCCUAGGUCGGAUUAGCUAGUUGGUGAGGUAAUGGCUCACCAAGGCGACGAUCCGUAACUGGUCUGAGAGGAUGAUCAGUCACACUGGAACUGAGACACGGUCCAGACUCCUACGGGAGGCAGCAGUGGGGAAUAUUGGACAAUGGGCGAAAGCCUGAUCCAGCCAUGCCGCGUGUGUGAAGAAGGUCUUCGGAUUGUAAAGCACUUUAAGUUGGGAGGAAGGGUUGUAGAUUAAUACUCUGCAAUUUUGACGUUACCGACAGAAUAAGCACCGGCUAACUCUGUGCCAGCAGCCGCGGUAAUACAGAGGGUGCAAGCGUUAAUCGGAAUUACUGGGCGUAAAGCGCGCGUAGGUGGUUUGUUAAGUUGGAUGUGAAAUCCCCGGGCUCAACCUGGGAACUGCAUUCAAAACUGACUGACUAGAGUAUGGU
rnacentral:rRNA from 1 species